UACGUAGGGACCGAGCGUUGUCCGGAAUCAUUGGGCGUAAAGCGCGUGUAGGCGGCUCGAUAAGUCUGCUGUGAAAGUCCAAGGCUCAACCUUGGGAUGCCGGUGGAUACUGUCGAGCUCGAGUCCGGAAGAGGAGUGUGGAAUUCCUGGUGUAGCGGUGAAAUGCGCAGAUAUCAGGAGGAACACCAAUGGCGAAGGCAGCACUCUGGGACGUGACUGACGCUGAGACGCGAAAGCGUGGGGAGCAAACAGG
rnacentral:rRNA from 1 species